rnacentral:rRNA from 1 species
UACGAAGGGGGCUAGCGUCGUUCGGAAUUACUGGGCGUAAAGCGCGUGUAGGCGGUUUGCCAAGUCGGGUGUGAAAGCCUUGAGCUCAACUCAAGAAAUGCAUUCGGUACUGGCAGACUAGAGGACCGGAGAGGAUAGUGGAAUUCCCAGUGUAGUGGUGAAAUACGUAGAGAUUGGGAAGAACACCAGUGGCGAAGGCGGCUAUCUGGACGGUUUCUGACGCUAAGACGCGAAAGCGUGGGGAGCAAACAGG